rnacentral:ribozyme from 1 species
CAGAAACAGAAAGACAGGAAAGAAGAAAGAAAGACAGAAUCGUGACACAGCAAACUCGGCAGCGACUCACCUCUUUGCAGGGUCUUCUCUUCCUCCUUUUAUCCCCCCUUUUCUCUUCCUUCUUUU